GGUGCUGCAUGGCUGUCGUCAGCUCGUGUCGUGAGAUGUGGGUUAAGUCCCGCAACGAGCGCAACCCUUGCCUUAGUUGCCAGCAGUUCGGCUGGGCACUCUAAAGGGACUGCCGGUGUUAAACCGGAGGAAGGUGGGGAUGACGUCAAGUCCUCAUGGCCUUUAUGACCAGGGCUACACACGUACUACAAUGGCCGAUACAAAGGGCAGCGACACUGCGAGGUGAAGCCAAUCCCGUAAAAUCGGUCUCAGUCCGGAUUGGAGUCUGCAACUCGACUCCAUGAAGCUGGAAUCGCUAGUAAUCGCGCAUCAGCCAUGGCGCGGUGAAUACGUUCCCGGGCCUU
rnacentral:rRNA from 1 species